UCAAAUUAAUUUUAUUAGCGAAAUUAACACCAAGCCGAUGAAUUGGAGGUUAAAGGUUCGUAUUGUCAGGCUUUGGGAAAAACCACUUCACAACAAACCUGAUAGUCCUUUUUCAACUGAGCUUAUUCUGAUGGAUGAAAAGGGCGGCCGCAUUCACGCAAGUGUUGGCAGGAAUAUUAUUCAAAGUUUGAAAAUGAUGAAACAAGAAAUCAAGGAAUUGGGUUUGUACAUCAUGAAGAAUUUCAUGGUUUGUCCAAAUAAGGAGAAACUGAGGAUCAAAGACCACAAGUGUAAGUUGAUUUUCACGCAGAAGACCAUUGUUGAGGAAAUACAGGAUCCAUAUUUUGACAUGUGUAUCUUCAAAUUCAAACCCUAUGAGCAGUUGUCUAAGGCUUGCCGACUUUGACGACACCGAACUAUUCGAUGUUAUCGGCCAAAUUGUGAGUUAUGGGGACGUACGAUACAUCAACCAAGAUGGUAACAUCCGGAUGUUCAUGAACGUUGAGUCAUAGGAUUAUAAGAGCAACAACAUAUCUGCAACAUUUUGGGGCGACUUUGUGGAACAGAUCAAGCCACAUUUGAUUGAAUCGAAUGAUAAGCCUGUUGUCGUCGUCAUGCAGUUUGUUAGAGCACAUCGAUUUCGAGAACAAUAUUCAGUGAGGAACACUUGGCACGUCUCCAAGCUUUGGAUCAAUUCACAACUUCCUCAAAUUGUUGACUUUAGCUCCAGGU